rnacentral:rRNA from 1 species
UACGUAGGCAGCGAGCGUUGUUCGGAGUUACUGGGCGUAAAGGGUGUGUAGGCGGUUGUUUAAGUUUGGUGUGAAAUCUCCCGGCUCAACUGGGAGGGGUCAUUCGAUACUGGUGGGCUCGAGGCCGGUAGGGGGAAGCGGAAUUCCCGGUGUAGUGGUGGAAUGCGUAGAUAUCGGGAGGAACACCGGUGGCGAAGGCGGUUCUCUGGGCAUUACCUGACGCUGAGGAGCGAAAGUGUGGGGAGCGAACAGG